AAGUCGUAACAAGGUUUCCGUAGGUGAACCUGCGGAAGGAUCAUUACUGAGUUAGGGUCUCCUGGCCCGACCUCCAACCCUGUGUCUACCUACCACGUUGCUUCGGCGGGCCUGUCGACAGGAUCUGUCGGCUGCCGGCGGGCCUCAAAACCCCGCUGGACCGUGCCCGUCGAUGGCCAACCUCCUAAAACUCUUGAAGAACCAUGUCGUCUGAGUACCAAACUAAAUAAAGUAAAAACUUUCAACAACGGAUCUCUUGGUUCUG
rnacentral:misc_RNA from 1 species